UUUUUUUUUUCAGUUCUUCAUUUCAACCAUGAGGGAAACUUAGUAUAUACUAGAUCUAGGCUCCGUUUGAUAAUUUUCAACUUUUCUCUGUUGUUUUACAUGUUUCCGAUUUUCUCCACAAUUUUUCAAAAAUGUUUGGGUAAAUUUCUGGCUGAUACAUGGCCCUUAGUCCUACAUGAGGCCAAUGCACUUCCCAUACUGAGUUCUGUUGACCACGCACUUCUACACGGUCACAUCUAGAUAAGUAGGCUGGCUCAUCUUAAGAUGACCUGGCCCAAAAAUCAUGCUAGUUUGGUAACCAGCUUUAUAGCCAUAAGUAAAAAUAAAAAUAAAAAAAUCUUUCUUAAACUUUUUAACAUUUUUACUCUCUCUCUCACUCUCAUCUUUUCACAUGAUGGACAGUCUAUAUCAAAGAUGGCCCUGCAUGGUGAAUGGUCCACAUUGAAGGUGGGGCCCACUCGAUGGAUGGUGCACAUAGAGGGUUAGCCCCUAAUGAUGAAUGGCCCAUAGCCAAGGCGCGCCCUGCAUGAUGGACAACCCACUUCGAAGGUGGGGCGCACACAAUGGACGGUCCACAUCAAACAUGAGCUCCACAUGAUGAGUAGCUGUCAUUGAAGGUGGGCCCCACAUGAUGGACAAUUAACAUUGAUGGUGGGUCCCACGUAAUGGUUGGUUCACACCAAAGGUCAGCCCCUUAUGAUGAAUGACCUACAUCCAAGUCAGGCCCUACAUGAUGGAGGUCCACUUUGAAGUCGAGUCCUGCAUGGUGGAUGAUCCACAUUACUAAUGUAACAUAGGAAACCAAACAAACUUUUUUACUUUUUGGUUGAGAAGUAUGUUGUUUACCAAACACACUUAUCUAUUGGAUAAGUAGAAACCGAGAUAGGUUACUUGAGGCAUAAGUAGCUUAAGCAAAACAACUUACGAACCAAACGGGCCCUAAGCGUCUAGAAGUCCUUGUUGUAGGGAUUGUUUUGUUCUGAUUUCAAUUAUAUCCCAACCUUUUAUUCUGAUAUUGUCAACCUCUCUCUCUCUCUC